UUGAUGAAGGAUUCAAGAACUGAAAUGAUGGGGAAAAGAUUCUCCAUGGUGGAUCAAGAGCUCAUUAGGACAUUUUCUUUGGAAGACAAGACGAAUACAC